rnacentral:rRNA from 1 species
GCACAGCGAAAUGCGAUACGUAGUGCGAAUUGCAAGACCUCGUGAAUCAUCAGAAUUUUGAACGCACAUUGCGCUCCCAGGACAUGCCUGGGAGCAUACCCAUCUGAGUGCCCACAAACCCAACUCGACCCUCGGGCGGGUGGUGAAGGGGGAGCGCGCGGUGUGGCCUCACGGCCGCGCUGUGCGCUUUUUUUUCACUCCGCAGCGGGGAGUCGGACUACGAGUGCUUGACUGAUGGCCUUCGGGCGGUGUUGGUCUCACUUUAGAUAUUUGGACCGCUACACACGGCGCACUGGAAACACGGCCAGCUGCGCGCGGUGCCCCGCCGAGUGGCGGAGGCUAACCUGAUCCUGUUAAAAGCGAUACCACGCGAAGUGACCUCGGUGAAUAACCCGUCGUCUGCGAUUUACGCGGCGAGUUGGAUUCCCCUCACGGGGAUGAGAAGGUCCGGGAAUGGGUGCGUCUCUGCGGGCUUGGUGCGCGGGCUAAGCGCGCGGCUAGCUGCUAAGUACGGUGCUGUUAGGAAAGCCUUGGGGUGAGACGGAUCUGGUGCUGAUACCCGCGUGCUUCGGCGCGUGCGCGGUGCGGCGCUGGCUUUGUCCCUCUC